rnacentral:rRNA from 1 species
GGGGAAUUUUGCGCAAUGGACGAAAGUCUGACGCAGCAAUACCGCGUGAAGGAUGAAGGCCCUUGGGUCGUAAACUUCUGUCAGUGGGGAAGAAAUACUCGUAAGAGUGCUGACGGUACCCACAAAGGAAGCA